CUUAUCGUCCUAAAGGCUGCCUUGGAACCUGGAACCUGACUACUCAACAGUUCUCUGCUGCUCCAAUUGUGGUCCUGGCCAGAAUUAUGAUCCGGAACCACACUCGCUCUGCUUGGCCGCAAAGUGUGGUACAGAGCUGUGGUAACUGAGCCUCAAACCUACCUGGCCUUCUCCUAAGGCCAUUCAGACUCCAUUUCAAAACAGAACCUAGCGCCACCCCCAUCUUCUCAUUCAGCCCUGGGCAGAAGUGUGUCGAUUGACUUUGGGGUGACUAAGGUAGAAUUUGGUGUCCUGCAGGGGUGCCCAGCCUUCACUAAGUCCAGCUUAGUGUGUUCUUGCCCUAGAGGACUGCCAUCCUCUCCCUUUGGCCCGGAUCCAUCCUUUUUGGAUGGGCCUUCCCUGCAGUGGAAGAUGGGAUUCAGGAAAUGGACUUCUCAUCCUUCAUUGCUCAAGGACCCAUCCUGGACAUGUCAGCCGUGGCCAGAGGUCCAGCUGCUUGGGCUCAGCAGCCUGCAUGGAAUAUUCAUCACACUGACUGACUAUGGAAGCUAUGACUCAUUCUCACUAGUGCAGAGAAGUCUCCUGGAUGAGCGAGCCUACUGCAACUGAUCUCUGUCCGUGUGCAUCGUGCUGUUUCCAGCAGGGACUUGACAUACUCGGCUGACAGUUAAUGAUCUUUAUUCCCUGAACCAUCCAGUUGCCUGGCAUCAGGCCACAUAGCAAACUUAGCAGGCCCGAGUUUAGCCAGCCCAGUCAUAGAACAAAGUAUUUCAGAGCCAUAUGGCAAGAAAGACAGAGGAAGACUGAUAAAAAAUAAAAAUUGUCCUGUACUGGAUAGAACUCAAGACAUCAUCACAAAACUAUAGAACACAGUAACGUUCCAAGGACUCCUUCCAUACACUAGUUCUCUGUACGAGCCUCACAGUGACAUCAGAACAAUGGGAUGCUUUGUGUAAUCCCUGACCAACAUGCUGCGGUGAUGUGACCCUCUCGGCAUUGCUAGAUUUUGUUACAAGACACACCUGAAACCUACUCCUUUUAUGGAGAGAGACACCAAUCUGGUUUAAAUUACUUCUCCUGCUGGCUUACCAGUUUGCUCUUCUUAUCUCAGUGUGUGUUUGCCUUUCAGAAGGAAUUGAGCCGUUCAUUAGGCAGGAAGUAAGACUCCGUGAGCUCGGAGAAGCCAGCCCACCCCUCCACCUGGUUUGUAGUUAGUAACACAGUCUCUACUGUAAGAAUUUUUAUUUUAUUAGCGUUGACAUUUACUCCUGCAUUUGAAUUGCAGAAAACCACCCUCCCAAAAUAAACUCUCAAAGCCCUGUUGACCUUGCCAUCUGCAUGAAUUAUGUAGUAGCAAAUGUUAAGGUCCCACUUCGAGGCUUUGCCUGAUGAUGAGACUU